rnacentral:rRNA from 1 species
GAAACUGCCUGAUGGAGGGGGAUAACUACUGGAAACGGUAGCUAAUACCGCAUAACGUCGCAAGACCAAAGUGGGGGACCUUCGGGCCUCAUGCCAUCAGAUGUGCCCAGAUGGGAUUAGCUAGUAGGUGGGGUAACGGCUCACCUAGGCGACGAUCCCUAGCUGGUCUGAGAGGAUGACCAGCCACACUGGAACUGAGACACGGUCCAGACUCCUACGGGAGGCAGCAGUGGGGAAUAUUGCACAAUGGGCGCAAGCCUGAUGCAGCCAUGCCGCGUGUGUGAAGAAGGCCUUCGGGUUGUAAAGCACUUUCAGCGGGGAGGAAGGCGAUAAGGUUAAUAACCUUGUCGAUUGACGUUACCCGCAGAAGAAGCACCGGCUAACUCCGUGCCAGCAGCCGCGG